rnacentral:lncRNA from 10 species
UUGAUCUGGGACCUCUCAGGCUACAGAACUAGAGUCCUUUCUAUGGAGGAGACAUUAUGCUAGAAUUUUCACACAGAUUAUUUUAUUUAACUCCAAGAACUACUCCAUGAAAUAGGCAUGAUCAUCACCUUCAUUGUUUACAGAGAUUCUGGCUUCCCCACUGUAAGAACUGAAGAUACUGCAGCUGAAUUGAUGUCAUGAAAAGGCCUUCAUUCAAUUAGAGUGGGUAUCUUGUGUGGUCUCUAUUUAAUAACUUCCACUUUUGUACAUUUCAAUUUCUGUACGUGCUCUGAGAUAAACAGCCAGAGUCUUUAAGCAAGAGAGACAACAACUAAAAACAACAAUGAAAACUUAGUUACAGCUACAGCGAUAUAUAGGUCUUUAUAAAAGUAGCAGUUCCAUUGUGAAGGCGGUGAUAAAUGUAAAACCAUAAAUUCUGGAAAUAGUCGUAGUAAAUAGAUAGAAACAAGAGUGGUUCACAGAUAAGGAUAUGAAGCAUACUCACUGUAUUUUACCAAAAAUGAUGUUCCUAUAUUUUGUAGACCAGAGAGCCUUUUUAAAGGAAACAAAUUCAUAACCAAAUACCAUCUAGAAUUACCUCUAUUAAUAAAUUGUCAAUGUAAUAUUUUAAUUAAAACAUAUAUCACGUAUUUUCUUCUCUGUAUAAUUUUAUAAAAUAUCUAUGAUAAGAAAGAAAAUAAUGGAAUGCAUUUUCUUUAACAUAUUAUCCUACAUUAUACUCUUUCUAAUCUCUAGAGAC